AGCAAUUUGGCGCAGUGGAAGCGCGGUAUGUUCACUCAUCUCUACUACCACAAAACAUAGAUACUAACAGACCCAGCCGGGCUCAUAACCCGGAGGUCGCACGAUCGAAACGUGCAAUUGCUA